rnacentral:sRNA from 1 species
GUACUGGCAAAAUCCAGUGCCGGGAUUAGGACCCCGCAUCGUUUCCCCAAGGCGCAUUGUCGCCAGCUUUCUGCUGGCAUUUU